CCGGAACUCCUGUUUUUAGGGUUACAUGCAGUCAGUUUGAUACUUAGCACACAUUGUUGAGUGCAUGCUGCCUAGGAUUUGUAAAAUACAUUGCAAAUGGUUGGUUUUGGUAUCAACUUGAAGGUAUAUUUGUAAGCAAUAAGAAAAUAAGCCAUUUUUGUGCUCUACUUUUUGUGUUGAUGGUUCCCGGCUUCGAAAGUAGGUCAUACUAUUUGAGCCCAAAAUGGUUGUCUGCACAGCUGUCAAAACCGGUUUGCCUAUUCUAAGGUAAAUAUUUUGAGUUUGCGCGUAUAGAAUUUAAUGACAUGCAUUUUUUUCAAAAGAUUAUGCAUUAAUCUUUCCAAUGAUGUAUGAUGAUAUAGUGGGUAUGCGCUUGAUCAUGGUAAAAAUUGAUAUCGAACUUCAACUAUUUUAUAUGUAAUAUAGAAGGAAAUUAAUUGCGCAUGCGUAACCUUUAAGCACAUCCGACCAAGUUAGUCGUCUGCCAGAAUUUUGACAUUUGACCAUCAAAAACUCUCUGUAUUGCAAAACAUAACUGCCAGAUGUCAUUUUAACCCAAAUAAGGGCUGUUUGCAAUUGGGCUGUUGCACUUGGGGUCAUAAGGGGGGUAAAUGCUGGAAAAUCACACCGAAACCUGUUCCGGAGACAUAUUCUAAGACUACUUAAACACCCGGUAUUGUUUUUCAGUGCCAUUUUGACAUUAAUUUGCAUCAAUCUCAAUAAUGAACCUAAUGCAUGUCUUUAUUUCAUCUGUAUUUAUUAUUAUUGUUUACUUUUUGAGCCUUUUUCUGUUAAAAAUGCCCGCCAAUUUUGGACCUACACUUCUAUCCGCCUUCGCCUUCAACCCAUUCAGGCAGAUCUACUCAGAAUAACACUACUUUGCCUUAUUUUACCUGUUUGGAUAUCUCGCUGAGUUCAAGUAAAAUCAAGUAUUCAGCUGAAAACACAAAAAUGAUAAUAAUAUUAUGCUUUCUUUCCUGGAAGAAUGUUGUUGCGAUAGACCCUGCAUGAAAAACACCAGGGAAUCUGUAUUUAAGUGACCUUAAUAUUAUGCGUAAACCUAAGUGUGCAUUUGUAGGCGGUGUCGAAAUGGGUCUAUAGCUCUGCCUGAACUGUCGUCCAAUUGGUUUACAAGUCCGGCUGAAGUGACAGGCCAUCAAAAACUGUACAGUGUGACUGAUUCGGAGACGGCCCUCAACACUCGCCCAGUCGUGUCGAGAGGAUCGGUGUCUUUGCAGAUUACACGGAAUUGAGCACCCGGGCCAGACUGACACUUUCCGGAGCCUGCCCUAGACGGAACUCGAGCCGAGGAAUCAUAGGUCCAGGCGGUGUCGAAAUGGGUCUAUAGCUCUGCCUGAACUGUCGUCCAAUUGGUUUACAAGUCCGGCUGAAGUGACAGGCCAUCAAAAACUGUACAGUGUGACUGAUUCGGAGACGGCCCUCAACACUCGCCCAGUCGUGUCGAGAGGAUCGGUGUCUUUGCAGAUUACACGGAAUUGAGCACCCGGGCCAGACUGACACUUUCCGGAGCCUGCCCUAGACGGAACUCGAGCCGAGGAAUCAUAGGUCCAGGUGUGACAAAAGACUUAAAGCUCAUGUCUGACGAUGACUUUUUUAGUCAGGAAGCCAAGUGUGUUGUUUUUCCAUGCAAGCGAGCCCUUUUGUUGGGUCAAAUGACAUCAGCAUUGCUGCUUCUACAUGGAUUUUACCUAAAAUGUGCAAAAAAAAUAUAAAAAGUUUGUUCGAAUCCAGUUCAAAACCUGCUUUGAUGCACAAAUAUUGCCAUUGAUGAUUUUUUUCACUUAUUAAGCCAUAUGUAAGAUAAGCUUUGCCUAUUAGAAUCGAAAGACAUGCCUUGUAUGGAGUCUAAGUGCUGCAUGUAUGAUGUAACCGAGUUUGGCUUUUCUACCUUAAUUCUUGACGCGAAACGCUGUUACGCAUGGCGCUUUCAAUGGCAACUUUUAUGAAUUAAUCUGUGUGUCAUUGUACCGGAACUUUGUGAUCUUUCUCAAAACAGAUUAUACCUGUGGGAAAAGUGCCUUUAAUUUAAAUUUGAAGGGGUUGGGUUCUCUUAAAGGUCACAUAACCCCAAACCGGAACUCCUGUUUUUAGGGUUACAUGCAGUCAGUUUGAUACUUAGCACACAUUGUUGAGUGCAUGCUGCCUAGGAUUUGUAAAAUACAUUGCAAAUGGUUGGUUUUGGUAUCAACUUGAAGGUAUAUUUGUAAGCAAUAAGAAAAUAAGCCAUUUUUGUGCUCUACUUUUUGUGUUGAUGGUUCCCGGCUUCGAAAGUAGGUCAUACUAUUUGAGCCCAAAAUGGUUGUCUGCACAGCUGUCAAAACCGGUUUGCCUAUUCUAAGGUAAAUAUUUUGAGUUUGCGCGUAUAGAAUUUAAUGACAUGCAUUUUUUUCAAAAGAUUAUGCAUUAAUCUUUCCAAUGAUGUAUGAUGAUAUAGUGGGUAUGCGCUUGAUCAUGGUAAAAAUUGAUAUCGAACUUCAACUAUUUUAUAUGUAAUAUAGAAGGAAAUUAAUUGCGCAUGCGUAACCUUUAAGCACAUCCGACCAAGUUAGUCGUCUGCCAGAAUUUUGACAUUUGACCAUCAAAAACUCUCUGUAUUGCAAAACAUAACUGCCAGAUGUCAUUUUAACCCAAAUAAGGGCUGUUUGCAAUUGGGCUGUUGCACUUGGGGUCAUAAGGGGGGUAAAUGCUGGAAAAUCACACCGAAACCUGUUCCGGAGACAUAUUCUAAGACUACUUAAACACCCGGCGGUGUCGAAAUGGGUCUAUAGCUCUGCCUGAACUGUCGUCCAAUUGGUUUACAAGUCCGGCUGAAGUGACAGGCCAUCAAAAACUGUACAGUGUGACUGAUUCGGAGACGGCCCUCAACACUCGCCCAGUCGUGUCGAGAGGAUCGGUGUCUUUGCAGAUUACACGGAAUUGAGCACCCGGGCCAGACUGACACUUUCCGGAGCCUGCCCUAGACGGAACUCGAGCCGAGGAAUCAUAGGUCCAGGCGGUGUCGAAAUGGGUCUAUAGCUCUGCCUGAACUGUCGUCCAAUUGGUUUACAAGUCCGGCUGAAAG